rnacentral:rRNA from 1 species
AACGAACGCUGGCGGCAUGCCUAACACAUGCAAGUCGAACGAGACCUUCGGGUCUAGUGGCGCACGGGUGCGUAACGCGUGGGAAUCUGCCCUUAGGUUCGGAAUAACUUCGGGAAACUGAAGCUAAUACCGGAUGAUGACGUAAGUCCAAAGAUUUAUCGCCUAAGGAUGAGCCCGCGUUGGAUUAGCUAGUUGGUGAGGUAAAGGCUCACCAAGGCGACGAUCCAUAGCUGGUCUGAGAGGAUGAUCAGCCACACUGGGACUGAGACACGGCCCAGACUCCUACGGGAGGCAGCAGUGGGGAAUAUUGGACAAUGGGCGAAAGCCUGAUCCAGCAAUGCCGCGUGAGUGAUGAAGGCCUUAGGGUUGUAAAGCUCUUUACCCGGGAUGAUAAUGACAGUACCGGGAGAAUAAGCUCCGGCUAACUCCGUGCCAGCAGCCGCGGUAAAGUGACUACUG